ensembl:snRNA U6 U6 spliceosomal RNA
GUCUGCCUCAACAGCACAAAUACUAUAAUUGGAACAGGACAAAAAGGAUGGCAUGACCCCUGAUCAAGGACAACAUACAAAUUUGUGAAGUAUGUCUAUUUGAU